GCGGUUAUGGCGGAACUGGCAGACGCGCACGUUUAAGGGGCGUGUGGAUAAUCCGUGUGGGUUCAAGUCCCACUAACCGCACCA
rnacentral:tRNA from 1 species